rnacentral:rRNA from 1 species
AGAGUUUGAUCCUGGCUCAGAUUGAACGCUGGCGGCAUGCCUUACACAUGCAAGUCGAACGGCAGCAUGACGUGUAGCAAUACACGUUGAUGGCGAGUGGCGAACGGGUGAGUAAUAUAUCGGAACGUGUCCUGUAGCGGGGGAUAACCUAUCGAAAGAUGGACUAAUACCGCAUACGCUCUACGGAGGAAAGCGGGGGUCGCAAGACCUCGCACUAUAGGAGCGGCCGAUAUCGGAUUAGCUAGUUGGCGGGGUAAAAGCCCACCAAGGCGACGAUCCGUAGCUGGUCUGAGAGGAUGAUCAGCCACACUGGAACUGAGACACGGUCCAGACUCCUACGGGAGGCAGCAGUGGGGAAUUUUGGACAAUGGGCGCAAGCCUGAUCCAGCCAUGCCGCGUGAGUGAAGAAGGCCUUCGGGUUGUAAAGCUCUUUCGGCAGGAACGAAAUGGUUCGUGUUAAUACCACGGACUGAUGACGGUACCUGAAGAAGAAGCACCGGCUAACUACGUGCCAGCAGCCGCGGUAAUACGUAGGGUGCAGGCGUUAAUCGGAAUUACUGGGCGUAAAGCGUGCGCAGGCGGUUUCUUAAGUCAGAUGUGAAAGCCCCGGGCUUAACCUGGGAACUGCGUUUGAAACUGGGAGACUUGAGUGUGGCAGAGGGGGGUGGAAUUCCACGUGUAGCAGUGAAAUGCGUAGAUAUGUGGAGGAACACCGAUGGCGAAGGCAGCCCCCUGGGUUAACACUGACGCUCAUGCACGAAAGCGUGGGGAGCAAACAGGAUUAGAUACCCCGGUAGUCC